UAAACCUCUCUUGGCACAACUUGAGGCUGUUUCCUCUUGUCCUGCACUUGUUACUUGGGAGAAGGGACUGACCCCACCUCACGACCUUUGGCAGCCUGAAAUAGCUCCAUCAGCCUCUGGAAUUGUGGCUCCCCAGGAGCUGAUCCUUGUGCACAUUCCUCCUUGGGUACAGCAGAGGAAAGACGGUUCAAGAAAAGAAAAUCAUAACAAACCCCAAGUCAUUUCAAACUGAAGAACAGCCCUUCCCAUGGAUGCUCCCCGUGCUCUGUCAGUGAUUCCCAGUGUGAUGGAUGGGGUUUGAUACACACAGUGACUGAGAGAAAUCCCUGCCUGUCAGAACAUCCACAGCCAACACCACAGCUCUGUUUACUGCCUUCCAAACUGCAAUCUACUCUUGCUUAAUUGGUAAACCCAGUAUUGCUCAGGCUGCUGGUCUCUGGUGAAGCACAGCUGAAGGCAUUAGAGGAGGGGUGGCAGGUCAGCCUUGCACUGCUGGUGCAUAUUAAACUGUCACUGCCACACACUGCUGUAUUGCUGUGCUGCUUUUCUUCCUCUCUGCCUUUCAAUUGCUCUGCUUUGAGCCUUGCAGCCCAAAGCAAUUAAUAAAAUCCACAAACUUGCAUGUUAGAAAAUAAAGAUAUAACAGGAGAGUAUGAAAUAAUUCACACUAAAGGAAAUAUUAGAGUUACUGAAGGGGAUACUAGCUUUAGGAUUCUCAGGUCCAACAGCUGAUCUUGUGUCAGCCCUCUUUCCUCUUGCAUCUCUCAGACUUUCUAAUGUAGGUACUUAUUAUACUUAUCUUAAUUGAACCUUAAUUCCUUCCCUUGAGCACGAGGUUGGACUAGGUGGCCUCCAGAGGCAUCUGCCAACCUUUUUUUGAUCUUUUUUUCCCCUGUGAUUCUAUUUUACAGCAGCAUGACUGACACAGAGACUGGAUGCCUCAUCCACUUAGUAAAUGAACAUGAAACACUGAGUGUAGAAGGUCAGAUGCCGCCACAAAAGAAAAGCUGAAGGUCUUGAAAAUGUGAUCAAGAUGGAAAUAACAGGAUGAUCUGUCUGAGCCUGAGAGAGCCUAGGAGUUGAAAACUUGGAGUUUCCACCUCUGGUGAUGGCCCAGACAGGAAAAUUGCCAUCGGUCAGAACCUGUGGCACCAGCUUUGUGCCACAGCUUUGUGGCAUUAAUUAAGAUUCCUCCAGGCCCACUGUGAUUGUUUUGGUGCUCCCAGUGGUACCUUUACCUGUGAAAGCUGUGUCUGUGGCUGCUGACACACUGUGGGAUCCCUCAGGGGAUCAGGGGAUCCAGGUGUCCUAAAACACAGGUGAGAAGGACACCAUGAGGGUCCGUGUGUGGAUGUGAGAAGAUGAAGACACAGCUCUGCUAGUACCUGAACUAUGGCAGAGUGGAGACACAAACAUGACCAUCAGGUUCAAUGGGGUAAACAAAGGUAACUCUGGUUACUUUGGUUACUAGACUCCUUUAUUUCCUUAAGAGGUUGUAAAUAACUGACAAAGCUGCCUGGAAAAAAACCCAAAAUUUGAGAUGCUAAUGUAUUUAUUUUAUUAUGCAGCCACUGCAGAAACCUUUCUGUGAAUUAAAAAUGGCCUAAGAAGGGAGAAAGGACUUCAACAUUUCCCAGAGCAAUGGUCUCAACAGAAGAAAUGGCAAUAGAAGUCUAUAUUACAUUGACAAUCUUUGUUUUCUAACACUCAUGGACUCUCAGUGAAAGGAGUGACAUCUGAAAUAUAUAAUUUAUUUUCUUAAGAUUAUACUGGGCCAGCACUUAUGUAGGCAAAUGAAAAACUUUAGGCUUCCAUUUCGAAAACAAUAAGAUUGAACAAGAUCUCAGCUGGGCAAAUAUAAUCAUUACACAGAUUUACUUAUUUAUUCAUUCCCGGGCUGGAACGUCUCUGUCAGAUUGCACUGCUGGAGAAAUGGUGGGGAGGAAGAUCACUGGGAAUCUCCUUUGCAAUCGUGGACAUGAACAUCCUGGACAGACUGAAACUUUUGUUCAGUGAAGUAUUUUGUUUAAUGUUACAAAACACAGAGUGAUUGGUGAUUAUAAUUCAUUACAAAUGUUCCCAGAGCAUUUCUCACCUGGCUGAGUGUCUGACUGGGAUGAGAAACAGCAAAUUCUCCCUGCAAGGGCAUUUCUUGGGACCAGGGAAUUUCAAAACAGCUUCCAAGGCCAUAGAGCGGUAGAUUCUGUCUGGCAUCCCAGAUGUGCCAAGGGCUGAAGUAUUUAUGAGGGAGAUAAUGAAGUCUUUGGGAAUAAAGAGUAGAUGGGAGACGCACAGCUGCGGUGCAAAUUGAGCAGUUCUGCUUUGUAUAGGCUUGUGGAGGGGAGCUGAUGAAAAAAGAAGGAACAUCAGUGUCACACAUUGGUUUGAACAUCCAGCUUAUUUCGUAAAGCCAUUUUGACCCUGUCAGCAGUGGACAGAGAUGGGAUGGAAGUUCUGGGAUGAUGAUAUUCCUUGGAAAUGAAACCUAACAAAGCACACUGCAACUCAGAACCACUGCACGCUGGAACAGGCAAAUGUGGCUUGUGGGCAACUGCCUUUGGGAAGUCAGGGAGCCCCUCUGGAAGCAGAUCUCUGGAUGUCCCAGGACGUGGAAGACUCAACUGCAGUACAACCGGAGCAAUGAGGCUUUAGGAACCAUCUGACCCGCACUGGUAGCACUGAGGGGACCAUCACUGUCAGCAGAAAAAGGGAGGAGGAAGAAGAGUUGAUAUUAUACACCUACAUCGUGGAGUAUUGUGGAGUCCCUUCAACGAUACCCACUCUGUUUAUUAGUAACCUUCUAAAGUAUCCUCAUCCUUCUGCAAACCCCAGGAGAGGCUAAUGGGGGGAAAACCGACUUUGGAUUAUGUGGAGCACAAAUGCAAAGCUGUAAUUAAUAAAUUCUGCCCUCACUAAUUGCAGAGGAGGAGUCUGUGCUGCUCCACACCCAGGAUUUACACUCCAUGUGUCUCCUCUUCCCUGGAAGUACAAACUGUGUGGGUUUGUACAAGUAUGGAAUGUUUGUACGAGGGGUAGGAAUUUCAGAUUUGGUUAAUUCUGAGGGUACAGAUGAAAGGAUGAAGCCAGAUCUGUGCAGUGUUCCCUGGCUGGGGUCCAUUUGAUCCUACACAGCUUGAGAUUCCCACCAGGGAAGGAAUGGCAGGGUAUCCCCUUUUCCCUUCUCUUGUUAUCUCUAAUCAUGGCUAGGCUUCGCGAACGAAGAUUUGUUAUCUCUAAUAAACAGUGUUUUAAUCAACA